GAGUUUGAUUAUGGCUCAGAUUGAACGCUGGCGGCAUGCUUUACACAUGCAAGUCGGACGGCAGCACAAAGAAGCUUGCUUCUUGGGUGGCGAGUGGCGAACGGGUGAGUAACGCAUCGGAACGUACCGAGUAGUGGGGGAUAACUGUCCGAAAGGAUGGCUAAUACCGCAUACGCUUUGAGAAGGAAAGCGGGGGAUCUUCGGACCUCGCGCUAUUCGAGCGGCCGAUGUCUGAUUAGCUGGUUGGUGGGGUAAAAGCCUACCAAGGCGACGAUCAGUAGCGGGUCUGAGAGGAUGAUCCGCCACACUGGGACUGAGACACGGCCCAGACUCCUACGGGAGGCAGCAGUGGGGAAUUUUGGACAAUGGGCGCAAGCCUGAUCCAGCCAUGCCGCGUGUCUGAAGAAGGCCUUCGGGUUGUAAAGGACUUUUGUCAGGGAAGAAAAGCUUGAGGCUAAUACCCUUGAG
rnacentral:rRNA from 1 species